rnacentral:lncRNA from 1 species
AAAAGUUAAAAGAUGAGCGCAAUCUGGGAAAGAAGUAUGUCAGUUUGUCAGUUGUCGGAUGAGCCUUAGAACCUUGACAUCAUAAUGGUGAGUGAUCCUGACUACUGAGGAAUCCUCGGGCUUCAAAGAUUUGCCUGUAGUGCUCUGCAAGGUGCCGCAGACAUGACUGAUUUUCAAUACCAAGAAUGGAAGAAUGAAGGAUGUUCACAUCAAUCAAAAAGCAAAAUCAACCUUUCCCUUGCCGUGAGUAAAAGACCAACUUGCAUCUGCUUGGUAUGCAGUAAAAAAUGGAGCAGAUUGCACAGUGACUGGAGAAAUGAAUGAGAAGUCCAGCUAUGAAAAAAAGUCAGAGACAAAAAUGAAGAUAAUAAAAUAUAUUUUGGAUGAGUGCAAUUGCCUAAAUAUGUAACUGUCAAGCUGGUGAGGUCAUAAAGAGAACAGAAGAUUAUCUAGGUCUGGG